rnacentral:tRNA from 1 species
GCUAUUUUGGCAGAUAAGUGCAUUGGAUUUAGAAUCUAUAAAUGUAAAGUGAUUGACUUUAUAAAUAGUA